CUCAAGAAGCCUUCUUACCAGCUUGCUCAUGUUGUGCUGUCCUGGUGUUGAAAGGAGAAGUUUUCAUGAUAGUCGCUUGGAGUGGUGAGAUUGCUCAUUUGCCUCCAAAGAGCUUCCGUGGAGAGUCCUGCAGACAGUGUGCACACAGGUUUGUGUCCCAGGCAGCUGUUGGAUGUAUAAAUAUGUUUUGCAUAGAUACAUGAUUGUAGUAAGUGCGUUUAUAUAUAUUUAUAUAUAAGCAUUAACAUAUUUUACUUGUGUAUGUGUGUGUAAAAUAUAUGGACUUAUUCCACUAGGGUAAUUCCAUCUAAAUUUCUACAGGGCAUCAAGGGCCUAUAG
rnacentral:lncRNA from 1 species